UAGGUUGAAAACUGAGGGGAUGACUUGUGGGGAGGAGUGAAAGUCUAAUCAAACCUGGAGAUAGCUCGUUCUCUGCGAAAUAUCUUUUGGGAUAGCGUCAGGUAAAUUGUGACACGGGGGUAGAGAUACUGAAUUGGAUGAGGGCCCUUCCCGGGGUACCUCACUGAACCAAACUCCGAAUACCGUGUUAUAUACCCUGGCAGUCAGUCCGUGUGGGAUAAGCUGCACGGUCGAAAGGGAAACAACCCAGACCAUCGUCUAAGGUCCCGAAGUAAUGCUCAGUCACUAAGGAAGUUAGUUUGCUGAGACAGCCAGGAUGUUGGCUUAGAAGCAGCCACCAUUUAAAAAGUGCGUAACAGCUUACUGGUCGAGCAGGCUUGCGCCGAUAAUGAACGGGAGUAAGCAUUACACCGAAGACAUGGGUUUACACUAUGUGUAAGCGGUAGCAGAGCGCUGUACAGGAGAUACAAGCCCAACGGCAACGAUGGGUCUCGGCCUGUACAGGUGAUUAUGCCGGAAUGAGUAACGAUAAAACAGGUGAGAAUCCUGUUCGCCGAAAGCCUAAGGUUUCCUGGGGAAGGUAAAUCCGCCCAGGGUUAGGCAGUACCUUAGUCGAGGCCGAAAGGCGUAGACGAUGGAUAGCAGGUUAAUAUUCCUGCCCCAACUUGUGGAGCGAUGGAGGGACGGCAACCAGAACACGUGCGGACGAUCAGAAAUGUCCGUGGAGUUCAUUGAGAUGGAGGGAUUGGAAAAUCCACCCUCAUAAUUCAAGAUGUUCGACCAACUGCCUUGAGCGGGAUUGCGUCGGAAGGUUGUCCAAGAAAAGCUUCUAAGUGUUGAAGCAAGUUGACUGUACUAAAACUGACACAGGUAGGCGGGUCGAGUAGACUAAGGCGCUCGGGAGAACGGUGGUUAAGGAACUCUGCAAAAUGGCCCCGUAAGUUCGCGAUAAGGGGUGCCCCUGAUGGUUAACGCUGUUGGGGGCCACAGUAAAUCGGCUCCUUCGACUGUUUAUCAAAAACACAGGUCUCUGCGAACACGUAAGUGGAUGUAUAGAGACUGACGCCUGCCCGGUGUUGGUAGGUUAAGGAAGACGGUUAGCCCUCGGGUGAAGCUGGCGACCGAAGCCCCAAUAAACGGCGGCCGUAACUAUGACGGUCCUAAGGUAGAAUUUUCUGCCCUCUGGUCUGGUGACAGAUCAGGUUGCACUUUGCUAUAUGCUGGAAACUCUGAGUAUCCGACAGUACUCGCUUUCGAAUUUCGAAAGCAGUGAAAAUCUGUUCGGUGCAGACAAUCAGCAGGAAACCAUUUUAUCAUUUGAGAUUUAUCUCACUUGAGAUUGAUGGGCUCCUCAGAGACUAAACGCAAAGCGACUCACUGCUGUUAAGAUCAAAGGUUAACUUUCUUUGAUUGGCAAUUGAGUUGAAGAUAUAGUCCGAGCUGCAUGGCGACAUGCAGAGGUUAACAGAAAUGUUAGCCCGCCGAUGGCAAACCUAAAUCUCUGGUUUGCAAAUGUUUUCUUUGAAAACAUGCAUGUUUCUUAGCUUAUUCAUUGGGUCUAGUUUUUUGACUAGGCCAGUACAGAUAAAUCGUUGAUUUAUGUGUGCGGUUUGGAUCUUGGCUAGAUCCGGUUAGUAGUGCUAAAUCUUUCAUGUGACUUCGGUAGUAACAUACUGAGCGAAGUUCCUUGUCGGGUAAGUUCCGACCUGCAUGAAAGGCGUAACGAGAGGAGCACUGUCUCAACCACCGACCCGGUGAAAUUGUAGUCGUGGUGAAGAUGCCACGUACCCGCGGUUAGACGGAAAGACCCCGUGAACCUUUACUGUAGGCAGAUAUUGGGCUGAGUUAUGUUUUGUGUAGGAUAGGUGGGAGACUUUGAUCCCGGCACGCCAGUGUCGGGUUAGUCGUCCUUGAAAUACCACCCUGAGUAUGAUUUAGUUCUAACUCUGACCCUUGAAUCAGGGCAGAGGACAGUUUCUGUUGGGCAGUUUGACUGGGGCGGUCUCCUCCCAAAGAGUAACGGAGGAGUUCAAAGGUACACUCAGCCUGGUUGGCAAUCAGGCGUCGAGCGCAAAGGUAGAAGUGUGCUUAACUGCGAGAGAUAUAACUCGAGCAGAUACGAAAGUAGGACUUAGUGAUCCGGUGGUUCCGAAUGGAAGGGCCAUCGCUCAUCAGAUAAAAGGUACUCCGGGGAUAACAGGCUUAUCGCAUCCGAGCGUCCAUAGCGGCGAUGCGGUUUGGCACCUCGAUGUCGGCUCAUCACAUCCUGGGGGUGAAGAAGCUCCCAAGGGUUUGGCUGUUCGCCAAUGAAAGUGGUACGUGAGCUGGGUUCAGACCGUCGUGAGACAGGUCGGUCCCUAUCUGCCGUGGGCGUACGAAACUUGAGGAGGUUCUUCUUUAGUACGAGAGGAUUUGGAAGGACGAAUCUCUGGUGUUCCAGUUGUCACGCUAGUGGCAUGGCUGGAUAGCUAUAUUCGGAAAAGAUAAACGCUGAAAGCAUCUAAGCGUGAAGCUCUCUCCAAGAUUAGGUUUCGUUGUAGCUUGCUACGAGAGUCCCCUGGAAGACUACCAGGUUGAUAGGCCAUAUGUGUAAGUGCAGUAAUGUAUUCAGCUAAAUGGUACUAACGGACGAAAGCUUGACCAC
rnacentral:rRNA from 1 species